UUGAUAUCAAUUUUUAACCCCAAAUUAAAAGUGAAAUUGCUCAAUGUUGAUCCAACUGCUGAGGUGAGAUCUCAAUUCCUUUCCCUUUAAAACAAUAUCAAAACCCUAAUCCCUCCAUUUCAAAAAAAGAUGCCGUUAUACCUUUUCUCUCUCUAUACCUCUCUCUAUCCAUCAAUGGUUGCCACCGCCGCUGAGAAACCUGAGUCGGCCCUUCCCCUCUUCCUGGCUUCCCUCUUCUCUUCCCUAGCCGGAGAAAACCCGAUGUCGCCGAGCCAGCCGGCAGAGCACCAGCGCCGCCUCCCAAAAUCAACCAUGCCAAACCGCCGCGUCCUCGCCAGUUGAGAUAUGGCAGCAUAUUGAGAAGUUGGAUGCAGAGGUACUAACUGAAGAUACUCCUCCUCUAGUUCGAAAAGCUAUGUACCGUGGCCUGCAAAGACGAUUGGAUGAAAGAUUAUUUAUCACUUUGUCAGUUUCUUUUCAUUUUGCUUGUUCCUGAUGAGUAUUGUUGGUGUAUCAUGAGUAGUAGAUUUUCUUAUGUAGUGUAGAUUAGAUGUUCAUUUUAGUUCCAUGUAAAAAUAGUUGGAGCAAAAACAAACAGCAGCAGCAGAAAGAAUCGUGUUUUGAAGUGCAGGUGUAUUUGCUAUGACUAUGGAUAAUAUGGAUAUUCAUAUUAUCCAAUGGGUUUAUCCAUAUCAAAUACGGGUUGGGUUGGAUAAUCUAUCUAUUUUUGUUUGACCCA